UGUCCUGGAAUGUUCGAUAUUCUUACCAAUUUUGAACCUACAUUAUGACAUACGGGAUUCCAAUAUUUUUAGGCGGAUGUCAGGCCUCCUUUUGAGUGGAAGGCAGAAGUCUAAGUGAGGUAACCCACCUAGCUUUGCUAGGCGUCAAUAAGUAAGAGACGGCAUUUUGGGGUU
rnacentral:other from 1 species